UACGUAGGGUGCGAGCGUUAAUCGGAAUACUGGGCGUAAAGCGUGCGCAGGCGGUGAUGUAAGACAGAUGUGAAAUCCCCGGGCUCAACCUGGGAACUGCAUCUGUGACUGCAUAGCUAGAGUACGGUAGAGGGGGAUGGAAUUCCGCGUGUAGCAGUGAAAUGCGUAGAUAUGCGGAGGAACACCGAUGGCGAAGGCAAUCCCCUGGACCUGUACUGACGCUCAUGCACGAAAGCGUGGGGAGCAAACAGG
rnacentral:rRNA from 1 species